AGUCUUCAGAUGUUUUAACAUGCUCCUAUACAUGGGGAAUUCCUCAAAGGAGAGACAAAUAGGAGAAUCUGUUUUUGAUCAAUCAUAAAACCUUUUUUGAGAUGGUGUUUCACCAGGUUGGCCAGGCUGGUCUCGAACUCCUGACAGAUGAUCCAUCUGCCUCGGCCUCCCAAAGUGCUGGGAUUACAGGAGUGAGCCACUGUGCCCAGCUGCCAUUAUUCUUAAAUAAUAUGAAAAAUGCAAAAUAAUGCCAGCCAGCAAAGAUAUACUGAAGCUGGCACUGUAAAUCAGUUCAACCUUU
rnacentral:lncRNA from 1 species